rnacentral:ncRNA from 1 species
CACAUAGGUUUGGUCCCAGCCUUAAAAUCAAUUAUUACUUGACUUACACAUGCAAGUCUCCGCACACCCGUGAAAACGCCCCUACCCCCACCUAGGAAUAAGGAGCCGAUAUCAGGCACAACAUUAACCCAAGACAUCUAGCCACGCCACACCCACAAGGGUCUUCAGCAGUGAUUAACAUUAAAAAUAAACGUCAGUUUGACUUAGUCAAUGAAAAUAGAGCCGGCCAACCUGGUGCCAGCCGCCGCGGUUACACCACGCGGCUCAAAUUGAUUCCAUGCGGCGUAAAGCGUGAUUAAAGAGACAGACCACUGGGGUUGAACUUAAACUAAGUUGUAAAAUACUUGUUUGUAAGAAACCUUAACCCGAAAGAUACCCCAGCCCACCAACUUGAACUCACGAUAACUAGGACACAAACUGGGAUUAGAUACCCCACUAUGCCUAGUCAUAAACUUUUACUUACACCUCAUCGCCAGGGAACUACGAGCAAAGCUUAAAACCCAAAGGACUUGACGGUGCCCCAUACCCAUCUAGAGGAGCCUGUCCUAUAACCGAUACCCCCCGUUUAACCUCACCAUUUUUAGUCUAUCAGCCUGUAUACUUCCGUCGUCAGCUUACCGCAUGAGCGAAUCAAGUAAGCUUAAUGUCAUCAUCAAUACGCCAGGUCAAAGUGCAGCAAAUAAAGUGGCAAGAGAUGGGCUACACUUUCUAUCUUAGAAAAUACGAAAGACUGUAUGAAACUACAGCCAGAAGGUGGAUUUAGCAGUAAGAUGAAAAUAGAAUAUUCCUCUUAACUCGGCACUGGGGUGUGUACACACCGCCCGUCACCCUCUUCAACAAACCCACCUAGUACCUAACAGUAGCUAUUAUUAUAGAAGAGGUAAGUCGUAACAUGGUAAGUAUACCGGAAGGUGUGCUUGGAA